ensembl:lncRNA
GCUGGCAUCCAUCUUGGCUGAGCAAUGCAUGCACCACUAGGAAGGACCCUGAGUCAGAAGGAUAGGCCAGAGACAACCCGGAAACUAAUCCCAUCACCAUAAAACCCGGGACUUCGAGCCACGUGACAGAGCAGCUCUCCUGGGCUCCCUCACCCUCCUGCUCUCCCCCCGGGGGGUGGGGGGGACCCUUCCCAAUAAAGUCUCUUGCUUUGUCAGCAUGUGUGUGUCCUCGGACAAUUCAUUUCUGAGUGUUAGACAGAGCCCCAUCUCAGACCCUGAAAGGGCUCCCCCUUCUUGCAACACAGCUAUGAAUUCCUCCAGGUAGGUGAUACUGAGGACAGAGUGCUCAAUUGAGCCUGUGUGACCUUGGAGAGUCACUUCCCUCUCUGAAUCUUUAUUUUCUGCCGGAGAACAAUUAGCUGCCCAUCCAGUAGCAGCAAUGUUUGGGAUCACCUGAGCUGGGGUUUGUAAAAGCGCUGAGAAGAUUGCAGCUAAAUUAGAGGAUGGUCGGAAACAAUAAAUGCCAGGAAAGGGAGCACGAUGAGGCCCAGCUCUGCUGUGCGGUGAAGACGUCUGGGUUUCUUAGAGUUAUCAGCUCCUGUGCCACGACUGGCCUUUGCCCCCAGGAAUGGCUGAUGAAGGCCUUCACGGCUCCCACUUCUGAGGAUAAAUCUCGAGGGGGAAGAGGGUAUGCCAAGUGGUCUUCCAUCCACCCACCUCCGCAGCCCCAGCCUCUCCAGGGCAGAAGUCAGAGAGCAGGACAUCAAGGGGAUUUGCAGGAGUAUUUUGAACACCCCACUCUCGAACGUGCCACCUGCAAGGGCUCCCAUCUGGAGGACAGCAGGGAAGCGCUGUCCAUCUUCCAGCCUCUCCUUGGCGAGUGAGCCCCACAUGGCAUGGGAUGGCGCUCUGAACUUUAAGUUCCUGGCUCAGUGACUGGCAUACAACAGGAGCUUAAUAAAGGACUUGGAGACAAAAGACGGAAGCCUCUCCCAUGCUUUACUGAAUCUCCUAUCCUUCCUCUGCUCCCUCCAUGCCAAUCUGAGUGCCUCUCCUCCUGAUUUCUGCUGGAAUUGAACACCCCUGAGCUAUCACCCCUUGCCAGGCAGGUGGCCCAGUCCUGUGUCCCUGUCUCUGCUGAUCCCACAGAGAAGCUGCCUGUGUGUGCGCUCUCUUUCACAGCGCAAGGACUCUAUCCAUCAGCAUUAUGGAUUAUCUUUCUUAUGUCGGCUUAAAAAAAAAAAAUGCAUACACUUGGCCCAGACAAGCAAAGUUGUGGCUUCUGUUUUCUGUAAUGAAUCUAAUAACUGUUGUCACAGUCUUCACCUGGUAGGGUAAUGAGAGAAACAUUUGGUAGGCUAUUUAAUUGACUUUAACGGACUGGCUUGGGGUUUGGGGGUAAAUACACAGGAGUUCAAAAUUCAACUCUAAUGAGCCAUUUGGUAAUGAGGACCAGGAUUCUUGUGCUGCUCAGGGUGCUGGUGGGGGUGGAUCCCUGGCUGACUGGCCCCCUCGUGGCUCUCUGCUCUGGGUGACCUUCUGGACUGGCCCAUGAGCUGGGAGGGCCAGUCUGUCCCUGCAGUCCCAGGGACAUUUGCUGCUGGCAUCCAUGGCAGUCUACUCAGCUUCCCUCCUUACUCUGGGACCUCCGCCAGGAGGAGGCGGGACAGCACAUCUCUGACCUGGGUCCAUCUUCUUUCCACAAUUCCCUGGGCCAGGAGGAGAGGGCUCUUCUUGCUUCACUUUUUGCCUCGCUCUCCCUCACAUCCUUGCCACCAGUGUGGUCCAUGGACGAGCAGCAUCGGCAUCACCUAGGACCCUGGAAGAAAUGCAGAUUCUCGGGCCCCACCCCAGACCUUCUGAACUGCAUCUGCAUUUUAACAAGGCUAGGUGGACCGACACUGUGCUGAGAAGGAGCAGAGGGGAGA